ACCGCUGUGGCCCAAAAUCCUGACAAGGAACUCAUUAGUCUUUCUCCUUUGAAGCUUCUUAUAAAAAGCUAAAUAAAGGACUUUAGACUUAUAUUUCUAAGGCAUACUAUAGAGCUAACAGCCCCUUGGAAAGGGAAUAGAACAAGUAAAAAAUAAGACCUUGAGGGCAAGGACUCCUUUAUCCAAUUGGCUUCUUGACUCUGCAACGACAUAAUGUUUCCCUAAGUGAGCAUCACUCCUGGAAGGGCUGCUGUAUCCUUUGGAAACCAUAAGAGAAAGCCUGGCCCAUCCAAGGGAGCCUAGUGGAGGGACCAGAAUCCUCAGCUUGGAAUCAGGAGGCUUGAUGGUCACUUCAGACACUUGUAAAAAUUAAAUUGUAAUCUCUAAUAAAAAUAUUAUAUUUUAUGA
rnacentral:lncRNA from 1 species